GACGAACGCUGGCGGCGUGCUUAACACAUGCAAGUCGAACGCUGAAGCUCAGCUUUUGUUGGGUGGAUGAGUGGCGAACGGGUGAGUAACACGUGAGUAACCUGCCCCCUUCUUUGGGAUAACGCCCGGAAACGGGUGCUAAUACUGGAUAUUCACUGGUCUUCGCAUGGGGGUUGGUGGAAAGGGUUUUUCUGGUGGGGGGUGGGCUCGCGGCCUAUCAGCUUGUUGGUGGGGUGAUGGCCUACCAAGGCUUUGACGGGUAGCCGGCCUGAGAGGGUGACCGGUCACAUUGGGACUGAGAUACGGCCCAGACUCCUACGGGAGGCGGCAGUGGGGAAUAUUGCACAAUGGGCGCAAGCCUGAUGCAGCGACGCCGCGUGAGGGAUGGAGGCCUUCGGGUUGUGAACCUCUUUCGCUCAUGGUCAAGCCGCAACAAUGGUUGUGGUGAGGGUAGUGGGUAAAGAAGCGCCGGCUAACUACGUG
rnacentral:rRNA from 1 species